CGGUGCCUAAUAAGCGGCGGACUGGUGAGUAACGCGUGGGUGAUCUACCUUGAGGAUGGGGAUAGCCGAUAGAAAUAUCGGGUAAUACCGAAUACGAUCAUUGAACUGUGGUUUGAUGAGGAAAGGCGCUCUGGCGCCGCCUUAAGAUGGGCCCGCGUCCCAUUAGCUAGUUGGUAAGGUAAAGGCUUACCAAGGCUCAGAUGGGUAGCCGGCCUGAGAGGGUGAACGGCCACACUGGGACUGAGAUACGGGCCAGACUCCUACGGGAGAGCAGCAGCUAAGAAUAUUCCGCAAUGGACGAAAGUCUGACGGAGCGACGCCGCGUGGAUAGAGGAAGUGCCGAAAGGUUGUAACAAUCCUUUUGCGAAUGAACGAAUAAGCGGUGGCAGGGAAUGCCAUCGUGAUGACGU
rnacentral:rRNA from 1 species